GACGAACCGUGCGAACGUUAUUCGGAAUCACUGGGCUUAAAGGGCGCGUAGGCGGGCCACCAAGUCAGGGGUGAAAGCCUCCGGCUCAACCGGAGAAGUGCCUUUGAUACUGGUGGCCUAGAGGGAGGUAGGGGCCUGCGGAACUUCCGGUGGAGCGGUGAAAUGCGUAGAUAUCAGGAGGAGCACCGGUGGUGUAGACGGCUAACUGGACCACGACUGACGCUGAGGCACGAAAGCGUGGGUAGCAAACAGG
rnacentral:rRNA from 1 species